rnacentral:snRNA from 1 species
GUGCUCACUUCGGGAGCACAUAUACUAAAAUUGAAAUGAUACAGAGAAGAUUAGCAUGGCUUUUGUGCAAGGAUGACAUGCAAAUUCGUGAAGUGUUGCAUAAUUUG